UCUGGGGUUUGUGGACUUCUUUUUGUGCGCUAAAACCCAAAAAAACUGGGCUUUAAAUGUGUGGAUGUUUAAGAAAGCAAAAAACAAAAACACAUUUGAUAAGAAUAUAAGAAAUCCGGGAGGAGAGUGAGAUCAUUUGCUGCUGGCUUGAAAAUAUCGGGGAAAUUUCCUUUGAGAGACGACCUGCGCACGGAGGCAUCUCCCCCUACCAAGGCAUACCAGCAUCAUCACCCAGAGCAUAAAGCCAACAUCUCUCACACCAGUAAUGAGCUAAAGGCUGCCUGCUCAGAGGAGAGAGGGAACGAGCACACAGAGAAGAGGGAAAAACACGGAGAGCUUGGCAGUGUCGAGAAAAGGCCUUGACGAAUGUCUGCAACAAUCUAAAUCAAUGAAUUAGGAAGAGCAUCCUGCAACAUUCUGUUCAGAAAACUCAGACAUCGACUCAGUGGGAGCAGAGCUCCACUGGGAGAAGGGCAGCAGUAGAGAGCAGAUCCUCGGGCAC
rnacentral:lncRNA from 1 species